UGGGGAAUUUUCCGCAAUGGGCGAAAGCCUGACGGAGCAAUACCGCGUGAGGGAUGACGGCCUAUGGGUUGUAAACCUCUUUUUUCAGGGAGGAAAAAAUGACGUUACCUGAAGAAUAAGCAUCGGCUAACUCCGUGCCAGCAGCCGCGGUAAGACGGAGGAUGCAAGUGUUAUCCGGAAUCACUGGGCGUAAAGCGUCUGUAGGUGGUUUAAUAAGUCAACUGUUAAAUCUUGAGGCUCAACCUCAAAACCGCAGUCGAAACUAUUAGACUAGAGUAUAGUAGGGGUAAAGGGAAUUUCCAGUGGAGCGGUGAAAUGCGUAGAGAUUGGAAAGAACACCGAUGGCGAAGGCACUUUACUGGGCUAUUACUAACACUGAGAGACGAAAGCUAGGGUAGCAAAUGGGAUUAGAUACCCCCGUAGUCC
rnacentral:rRNA from 1 species